GGCUGCCCGAUUUAAAGAGCAGUCUGGCCUGCCCACUGAAGUUUUAAAGGGCCGCGGUAUCCUAACCGUGCGAAGGUAGCAUAAUAAUUAGUCUUCUAAUUAAAGACUAGAAUGAAAGGUCGGACAAAAAGUGAACUGUCUCAGUUUUAAACAUCCAAAUUAACUUUUAAGUGAAAAGGCUUAAAUAAUCUCAACGGACGACAAGACCCUAUAAAACUUUAUAUAAUUAGUACUUAUUUUUCAUUUAUUUGUAUAAAAUUAAAUAAAUAUAAAAAUAUUUCAUUGGGGUGAUGGAAGUAUAAACAUAUAACUGCUUCUUAAUUUAAACAAUUAUAAUUGAAUAUUCUGAUCCUUUAUUUAGAUUUAAAGAAAAAGUUACUUUAGGGAUAACAGCGUUAUUUUUUUUUAGAGUUCUUAUCGACAAAAAAGUUUGCGACCUCGAUGUUGAAUUAAUAUUUCCUAAUAGUGUAGCAGCUUUGAGGGUAGGUCUGUUCGACCUUUAAAAUAUUACAUGAUUUGAGUUCAAACCGGUGUGAG
rnacentral:rRNA from 1 species